ensembl:rRNA 5S_rRNA 5S ribosomal RNA
GUCUAGGGCCAUACCACACUGAAAGCGGCUGAUCUCGUCUGAUCUCAGAACCUAAGCAGGGUCAGGCCUGGUUAGUACUUGGAUGAGAGAUUUGGAUGGGGACACAGAACCAAACC